GACGAACGCUGGCGGCGUGCUUAACACAUGCAAGUCGAACGAGACGAUUGAAAGCUUGCUUUUAAAAGUCGAGUGGCAAACGGGUGAGUAACGCGUAGACAACCUGCCUUUGAGGUGGGGACAACAGUUCGAAAGGACUGCUAAUACCGAAUGUUGUAUAUUUUCCACAUGGAAGAUAUAUUAAAGAUGGCAUCUAUUUAUAAGCUGUCGCUCAAAGAUGGGUCUGCGUCUGAUUAGCUAGUUGGUGGGGUAACGGCCUACCAAGGCGACGAUCAGUAGCCGGUCUGAGAGGAUGAACGGCCACAUUGGGACUGAGACACGGCCCAGACUCCUACGGGAGGCAGCAGUGGGGAAUCUUCCACAAUGGACGAAAGUCUGAUGGAGCAACGCCGCGUGAGUGAAGAAGGGUUUCGGCUCGUAAAGCUCUGUUGUCGGGGACGAAUGUGCAGUAUUUGAAUAAAGUACUGUAAUGACGGUACCUGACGAGGAAGCCACGGCUAACUACGUGCCAGCAGCCGCAGUAA
rnacentral:rRNA from 1 species